rnacentral:lncRNA from 1 species
UUGUAGCCUUUGCCUGCCCCUCCUCAGUAAAGGGAUCCUGUUAAAGGGAUCUGGGGUGUGUCAUACUGUCCGAAGCUCCUACGGGGAGCCUUUGGGGUGCUGCCUCUUGGUAGAAUUCCGCCUCCAUGGUUGCAGUCAUGGGAUUUUUGUCUAUCACAUGACGGUAUAUGUUUUGACUCCACAGAGUGGGAAGUGACGGAGACAGGAUGUUUGUGUUACUGUGUUCCGUGAAGUGGGACUAUUGUCCUUUGCUCUUUUUCCCUUUGCUGUCUGAUGCUAGAGAGAGAGGGAGCCAUGUUGCAGUGCUCCGUGUGUGUUUAUAUGUAAAUAAAGUAGAUUAGCCAAAAUGCUGAGUUAUUGAGGUCUGUUACACAAGCUGCAAAGACUCUGCGGAUCCCUAAGUGUGCCGGUGUCUGUUGGCAUCGGUCGCUGUGAUGUUCGGGCUGAAGAAAGCUUUUGAAGCUCCCGAACGAUCGACCAGGAGGGUCUGCCAGGGUCCUACUCGAGUGUAGGACGAGCUCCUGACACCUCUAUCUAAUGUAAGUCAUAGGACACCCCCUAUCAGUGGUUUACCUUUCCAUGGACUGUCUGCAGAUGGCCAGGAGUCAAGAUGUAGCCUAACUUCACUCCAAUGCCUAAGCCAAACUGCUCACAUCUGUAACCAAUGAAGUUGUGGCCUAUUUGAACCCAUAAACCAAACUACUCUGUGUCAUUGUGUUUUAUUGUUCUUCUGGGAACUUUGUGGCUCGGGUGCCUUGACACACAAAAGAAUCUGCCGCACCAUCCAGUGCAGGGGCACAGAUUCACAUUGACAUUUCCUCCUUCUCCGCAGCACAAAGGACUCUGCAGAGGAAAAGCCGUUAAGGAGUCAGAUGCAAAAGAUCCCAGUGUGAUUGAAAUAGAGUCCUGUGAAAUCUUCGAUAUUCAAGAUACAGGAAAAGGUUGCCAUGUGUGCGGGCACACAUGCAGGCACCCGCCGCAUGGGCACCCUCACAACCAUGACCACCACCACCAUGGUCCUUGUCAACAUCAUCACCAUCACAGCUUCGGACCUCACCAUGGGCAUCACAAACAUCCUGGGCAUCACAGGCAUGGGCAUGGGCAUCAUGGGCAUGGGCAUCACGGGCAUGCAGGGCCCAGAGGUGACCACAAUUGCUCUGAAGAAUAUCCUGACUUCCCCCUCCUCCAGGACCUUGCUACCCUCCUCCACCCCCUGGCGGACCACACCAUUUCCCGCCUUUUAACGGUCCCCCACCUCCUCCAGGGCCACCACAUGGGCCUCUUUGCCAUCCUCCUCCCCCUGCCGAUGUCCCUGACGAUCGUCCCACAUCUCCCCAAAUCAGCGGGUUCGUAG